rnacentral:rRNA from 1 species
AAGUACCCGUGAGGGAAAGUUGAAAAGAACUUUGAAGAGAGAGUUCAAAAGGGCGUGAAACCGCUUAGAAUAAAACGGACGGAGCCGUCUGCAGCCCGUCGGAAUCAGUCGGAUCGACGCGUGAAAGCGAGUACGACAUUGAAAAACGGAACGAAAGUCCGGUCGUCUCGUAGUAAAAAAAGUAGCGCUCGUUCGAUGCAUUUCCGAAGGGUAAGCACCGCGACCGAUGUCGAAGGCUAGCGAAGCCGUUGGAUUGAGGUCGAGUUCGUUUACGCGAGUCUCGUAACCCGUCCUUCGGUACGAAUAGAAUUCGUUAGACCCUAGCAUCGAGAAUAAAAACGAACGAACGUCGGUGAACUAUACACGCUCACCCGUUACGAUGGACGUGCGGCCGUUCGAUCGUCGCCUGCCCGCAGGUUACGGUUUGAAUCCGGUUCGUAUCCGAAGUCGUCGGUGACGUUUCGGCGUUCGGGAGUCCGCGGUGUCCGAGUCGGUCACCCGUCCGACCCGUCUUGAAACACGGACCAAGGAGUCUAACGUAAGCGCGAGCUAAUGGGCGGAAAACCCAUAAGCGAAAUAAAAGUAAAGGUCGUUUCGGACGGCCGAGGUACGAUCCCGAAGAACGAAAGUAUCUACGGGCGCAGUACCGUCCCGUCCCGACCGCUUGUCGGUAGGGCGGAGAUAGAGUGCAUACGUUGGGACCCGAAAGAUGGUGAACUAUGCCUGAGCAGAGCGAAGCCAGAGGAAACUCUGGUGGAGGUUCGUAGCGGUUCUGACGUGCAAAUCGAUCGUCAGACUUGGUAU